UGAGGACCAACAUUUGUAUAGAAUCACUUGCCCAUCAUCAAAUUCUUGUAAAGAAUACAGUGUCUGUCCCAUGGGUUCUGAGCUGGAUAAAGGGGGGGUUAUUAUAAAGUGGUUAACGUGGAUAUGGAAAGUCUUCCUACCAUUAACAUUUACCGUAGUUGCAGCUCUUUUCUUGGUAAUGUUUCUAUGGUGGAACUGGAUCCUAAAAAAAAAAACUAACUACGAAACAACUAAUGGUGGUUUUUACUUGUUUAAACACAAAAUGAAAUAAAUCAAAAGUUAGCUUUA